GCUUGUCUCAAAGAUUAAGCCAUGCAUGUCUAAGUAUAAACAACUUUGUACUGUGAAACUGCGAAUGGCUCAUUAUAUCAGUUAUAGUCUACUCGAUAGUACCUUACUACUUGGAUAACCGUAGUAAUUCUAGAGCUAAUACAUGCGUAAAUACCCAACUGCUUGUCGGACGGGUAGCAUUUAUUAGAUUGAAACCAAUGCAGCUUCGGCUGGUAUUGUGUUGAGUCAUAAUAAUUAAGCGGAUCGCAUGGCCUUGUGCUAGCGACAGUCCACUCGAUUUUCUGCCCUAUCAUGGUUGAGAUUGUAAGAUAGAGGCUUACAAUGCCUACAACGGGUAACGGGGAAUUAGGGUUCGAUUCCGGAGAGGGAGCCUGAGAAACGGCUACCACAUCCAAGGAAGGCAGCAGG
rnacentral:rRNA from 1 species